UACGGAGGGUGCGAGCGUUGUCCGGAAUCAUUGGGCGUAAAGGGCGCGUAGGUGGCCCGGUCAGUUCGUGGUGAAAGCGCGGGGCUCAACCCUGCGUCGGCCAUGAAUACUGCCGCGGCUGGAGCACUGUAGAGGCAGGCGGAAUUCCGGGUGUAGCGGUGGAAUGCGUAGAUAUUGGGAAGAACACCGGUGGCGAAGGCGGUUCUCUGGGCCUGUACUGACGCUGAGGAACGAAAGCGUGGGGAGCGAACAGG
rnacentral:rRNA from 1 species